CCGUGCUUAUUUCAACAGUGCGAAAAAUGGGACAAUACAGAGAAGAUGAGCAUGGUCCCUACACGGGGACGACUGCAAUUUUGGAAAGCAUUCUGUAUUUUU
rnacentral:snRNA from 1 species